AAUCAACGCUGGCGGCGUGCCUCAGACAUGCAAGUCGAACGAUUAAGACUCCCUUCGGGGAGUGCAUAAAGUGGCGCACGGGUGAGUAACACGUAAGUAAUCUACCUUUGAGUGGGGAAUAACCCGGGGAAACCCGAGCUAAUACCGCAUAACGCAGCGGCACCGCAAGGUGACAGUUGUUAAAGGAGCAAUCCGCUUGAAGAGGAGCUUGCGGCAGAUUAGCUAGUUGGUAAGGUAAUGGCUUACCAAGGCUACGAUCUGUAUCCGGUCUAAGAGGACGGUCGGACACACUGACACUGAAUAACGGGUCAGACUCCUACGGGAGGCAGCAGUCGGGAAUUUUGGGCAAUGGGCGAAAGCCUGACCCAGCAACGCCGCGUGAAGGAUGAAGUAUUUCGGUAUGUAAACUUCGAAAGAAUGGGAAGAAUAAAUGACGGUACCAUUUAUAAGCUCCGGCUAACUACGUGCCAGCAGCCGCGGUAAUACGUAGGGAGCAAGCGUUGUUCGGAUUUACU
rnacentral:rRNA from 1 species